rnacentral:rRNA from 1 species
AAUAGAUACCCGGGUAGUCCACGCCGUAAACGAUGAGUGCUAGGUGUUAGGGGGUUUCCGUCCCUUAGUGCUGCAGCUAACGCAUUAAGCACUCCGCCUAGGGAGUACGGUCGCAAGACUGAAACUCAAAGGAAUUGACGGGGGCCCGCACAAGCGGUGGAGCAUGUGGUUUAAUUCGAAGCAACGCGAAGAACCUUACCAGGUCUUGACAUCCCGCUGACCGCCAUGGAGACAUGGCUUUCCCUUCGGGGACAGCGGUGACAGGUGGUGCAUGGUUGUCGUCAGCUCGUAUCGUGAGAUGUUGGGUUAAGUCCCGCAACGAGCGCAACCCUUGUCCUUAGUUGCCAUCAUUCAGUUGGGCACUCUAAGGAGACUGCCGUACAAAUACGGAGGAAGGUGGGGAUGACGUCAAAUCAUCAUGCCCCUUAUGACCUGGGCUACACACGUGCUACAAUGGGUGGUACAAAGGGCAGCAAACCCGGCGAGGGGGAGCGAAUCCCAAAAAGCCACUCUCAGUCCGGAUUGCAGGCUGC